rnacentral:lncRNA from 10 species
GGAGAAGCAGGAGAGACCUCGUGAGUACCAGCAUACUGGAGUGAAGCAGCCGCAAGCCAAGGAACGCCUGGAGCCACCAGAAGCAGGAAGAGGCAGGGGAAGGUUCUCCCUCAGAGCCUUUGGAGGGAGCACACCCUACUGAAACCCAGAGUUUAGAUUUCUGGCCUCCAGAACUGUGAGAAUAUCAAUUUCUGUCAUUUAAAGUCAGCAGGUUUGUGGUAAUUUGUUGCAGUAAGCCCAGGAAACAGAUGCACCCCUUCCCCUUUCCCCUUUCUAGCUCCUCAUCUUUUCCUUAGGAGGAGCAAACCUGUCCCAUGCAGGGUGGUUUUCCAUUUUCUGUGUUUAUAGGGUCUUACCCUCUAUUUGUGUUUCCCCCGUCAUGGUCCAUUUGGGCUGCUAUAACAAACUACCAUAGACAGGGUGGCUCUUAAACGUCAGAAAUGUAUUUCUCACAGCUCUGGAGGCUGGCAGGCCAAGAUGAAAGCACUGGCAGAUUCGGUGUCUGGUGAGGGCUGCUUCCUGGCUCACAGAUGGCAUCCUCUCCUGCGUCCUCACAUGGCAGGAAAAUGCCCUCUAUGAGAAGAAUUCUGAUGCCAACACCAAUCCAUUUCUGAAAUCUACUUCGAUUCAUCUCUUGGGUCUUUUGAACCUGUUCUCCCCCCAGUGAUGCUGUGUUGAGGGCAGAGGUGCGCUCAACAUUGAAUGAGACCACAUUCAGGCUGCAGUGAUUGUGCCCUAAAGAGUUCAAGACAUGAUUGGAGGAAGCCCUGUUCUAUGUUUUUGCUAUUAAAUUCUGAAUGGAAGAAUGUAUGUGAGUAGAUUCUGAAGGAGUGGGACCCGGGAAGAUGGAAUAAAAGAUUAGAUCAGGCAGAAUUAAUUAAUAUUGGAGCAGUCACCUGGGAUUCUAGAUUUAAUAUAUUGACUCAGACGACUAUGAAGUGAUACUUAACUGAAGCCUGGAUUCAACAAUGACCUACAACAGGGUUUCUCAAAAUUUAACAUGCAGAAGAAUCACUUGAUGAUCUUGUUGAAAUGCAGAUUCUGAUUCUCGAGGACUACGGCCUGAGAGAGGACCUCUGGCUUCUUCUGCCAUGUGAGGACACAGAAAGAAGGAGCUGUUUAUGAAGCCUGGCCCUCACCAGACACUGAAUCUCCUGGCACCUUGACCUUGGACUUCCCAGCCCCUAAAACUAUGAAAAAUAAAUAUCUGUUUUUUAUAAGACACCAAGUCUGUAUAAUUUUGUUACAGCAGCUUAAAUGGACUAAGAUGGGGUGAUCUAUAUUUUUACUCACAUGGAUCUAAAUGAUGGCAAAUAGAUCAAGGACGCAAAGGAAUAGAAUGGCUAGGCAGUCUGCCAAAGUGCUAAUUGAAAUGUAAAAGUGGAAGUAUUCUAAGUCUAGUAGACAAAAAUAGAAAUCAAGACAUUGUAAUAGGGUUUCAUAGUCUCUUACCCAAUUAUCAGACGUAAGUCUGUUCAAAAAGACUUGGAGUCUCCCGAUUGAGGAGAAAGUUGAGCCCCUUUGGGAAAGGGUGCUUGAGUGUUAUCACAUGUAUAUAUUGUAAAUAUUUCUUCAUGUCUUUCCCCAAGAAACCAGCAUCCAUUUACCAGAGUGACUGCACUGAUGACAGAGAAAUAAGCAGAACAUUUGGGUAUUCUUGGACAGUGACUUUGAGCUGAUUCUAAUCUCUAGAGUUCCAUAAAUGCCUCGGAGUUCAUUGGCAAGAGUGAAGACUUAUGAAUGUUAGGUGAUAGAUGGACUCCUGACUCAAACUCAUCUCAAUAAAUUAAGGAACCUAACCUACUGUCAUUCCUACGCCAGACUGUAUAGUGUAACUUAGAAAUGCGUAGUAACCAGCAGAAUCUCCAUAUUGGUUCUCUGAUCUGUGGAGUGAGAGCUGUUAGGUUAAGAAGCACCAAAAAGGGGUCCUUGAAACUGACUUUCUAUAGGGGAAUUUCAGAUAUAUUUCCUCCACUAAGAACUUUUAAAAGGCAGGAGGUAGUGAUUCCUAUGGCAUCACCCUUUAAUGAACAUGUUUUGCUGGUGAAAGAGCUAUGUGGGUCUUUGAGGAUGACUGUGGAUUAUUUCAGACUUAAUCAUGUGGUAACUCCAAUUCAAGCUGCUGUUCUUAAUGUGGAAUAUUUACUGGUGAAAGUCAACAGAACUUCUGGCACCUGGUAUACAGCUAUUGACCUAGCAGAUAUUUUCUAUUCUUUUUUUUUAAACAUGAAAUUUACCAUUUUAAUGAUUUUAAAAUGCAC